UGGGGAAUAUUGGACAAUGGGCGAAAGCCUGAUCCAGCCAUGCCGCGUGUGUGAAGAAGGUCUUCGGAUUGUAAAGCACUUUAAGUUGGGAGGAAGGGCAGUAAGCGAAUACCUUGCUGUUUUGACGUUACCGACAGAAUAAGCACCGGCUAACUCUGUGCCAGCAGCCGCGGUAAUACAGAGGGUGCAAGCGUUAAUCGGAAUUACUGGGCGUAAAGCGCGCGUAGGUGGUUCGUUAAGUUGAAUGUGAAAGCCCCGGGCUCAACCUGGGAACUGCAUCCAAAACUGGCGAGCUAGAGUAGGGCAGAGGGUGGUGGAAUUUCCUGUGUAGCGGUGAAAUGCGUAGAUAUAGGAAGGAACUCCAGUGGCGAAGGCGACCACCUGGGCUCAUACUGACACUGAGGUGCGAAAGCGUGGGGAGCAAACAGG
rnacentral:rRNA from 1 species